rnacentral:rRNA from 1 species
AUCUAAUCAGAGUGCUCGGGUGGAGGCUUGUGUCCGGGGUCGUGGGCGUGCGUCUCGUGCGUGCGUGCUCGUGCUUCGGCGCUUCCUCUUUUGCCCACCUCUGUGCUCUUACUUGGAGGGGGUGACUUCUGUGUCACCUUGAGUAAAUCAUGGUGCUCACAGCAGUCGUGCGGGCCCCGUGCCCUGUGAACAGUCUAUGCGGACUGAAUUGGUUUUGCAAGGCAUGACGAAACAUGACGUCGCUGCUGGUCGCGAGUGUGAGGGUGCAGUCCUCGUGGCUGUGCCGAGCGGUUUGCCAGUAGUGACGUAAUGAUCAAUGGAGACGGUAGCUGGCAUUGGUAUUGCGCGGCGAGAGGUGAAAUUCUGCGACCCCCGCAAGACCUCCUAAAGCGAAGGCGUCUGCCAAGGACGUGUUCACCAAUCAUGAACGAAAGUCAGAGGAUCGAAGGCGAUCAGAUACCGCCCUAGUUCUGACCCUAAACGAUGCCAACCAUCAAUCCGCGUGAGCACCCUAUCUAACGGGCUCGGCGGGCAGCUCCCUUCUUCCGGGAAACCAGAGUUUUUGGGUUCCGGGGGGAGUCUGGUUGCAAAGCU